GGCUCAAUGGUCUAGUCGUAUGAUUCGCGCUUCGGGAGUUGACCCUUCCUUGCUUACGUAAUUAAAUGCGCGAGGUCCCGGGUUCAAUUCCCGGUUGAGCCC